UAGAAUUCCUCGGCUUCUCCCAGCCUCAGAGCAGGUGCAGCACAGGCUGUGGCCGUACAACCUUCCCCCUGAAGAUCCCAUUAAUAUUCUUCAGCUCUGGCCUGGAGAGACCGGCUCUGGGGCAAAACAGGAAUUGAGUCUCCAUGGCCAAUUCACUCCUGGGCCUCC
ensembl:misc_RNA